rnacentral:rRNA from 1 species
UACGUAGGGGGCUAGCGUUGUCCGGAUUUAUUGGGCGUAAAGAGCGUGUAGGCGGCCAGGUAGGUCUGGUGUGAAAACUCGAGGCUUACCAUCGAGAUGUCAUCGGAAACCAAUCUGGCUAGAGUCCGGAAGAGGAGAGUGGAAUUCCCGGUGUAGCGGUGAAAUGCGCAGAUAUCGGGAAGAACACCUAUGGCGAAGGCAGCUCUCUGGGACGGUACUGACGCUGAGGAGCGAAAGCCAGGGGAGCAAACGGG